ensembl:ncRNA lncRNA:CR31647 long non-coding RNA:CR31647
GUUGUUGCCUUCGCGGCAAUUGUUUUAUGUGAAAUUUGUCACACUGUCAUGGGCAGCUCCUUCAAAGUUUAGCCGCCAACGCCCACAAAUAUGUGGACCCUCCCAUGAUUGAUGGGCAUCUUGCGUACAAAUUAACACCGGAAUUACUCCUCGUGCACUGCAGGCCAAGUUCGGCGAACUUCCAACGAUUUUCGACUCCACCCCAAACCCAAAAAAAAAAAGACAUAACAAAAAAAGUAACGAAAAAGGAAGAUGCGUUUUGGCCCAUUUCAAAUGAAGCCGACUUUCAAUUAGGCAAAAACUUGGCAGCAAACCAAAAACAAAAGCAAGCUAAUGAGACGACGACUGAGUUUGGCCGGAGGUGCGAUCGUGACUUCGAAUGCGACCAGUGUCAAAGGCGCAGCUGGAUAUUCUGAUUAAUCGCCAUGAGCCAGAUCCUAGCUGCCUUUUAUUAAUUACGAUCCAGCUCCAGAUCGAGUGCGUAUAUGGAUGUGGACAUGGAUGUGGAUGUGGAUAUGGACAUGGAUGUGAAUGUCUCGGGGAGACGCGUGCUCAAGGCGUGAAUACCAUCGUCAACAAGCUAGCACCUCUCGCUCUGAAUUAUUGCUGAAAUAUUUGCUGAUUUAUUGGCACCAACUCGCUUGUUGCACUUGGCACGCCAUGUGCGUGUUUUUUUUUAGCGAGACCCAAAGAGAUCACUGGGAAAAAAGACAGCUCAGUUCCCAGUCCUUUGAAUUAGAUAAAUAUAUUGAAAAGAAAAAAACUUCAGCGGAAAUUGUAUUAAGUAUGAUGUGAUCAGUUAAAUAUGAAGUAUACGUAUUCAUAAUAGUUAAGUUUUACAUUUUGUUUUAAAACAUGCUUCAUAACAUCAUUAUUAUUUUUUAACAAUAUCUCCCCCUUGCUAACAAUUAUUUCACUUACUACACCAUAAUAGCUUUUUCAGUGCCCAUGCAACCUUGUUGCAAUUAGUUUUUGCAUCACCACCCAGCGAGUAACGAGUAACCGUGGCGUAUCAUCUUACCUUUUGGGCCAACCUUGAACUGGCCAAGACAGAGGCCCUAAAUCUGGCUCUUUUCAGCUCUUCAGCCUUUCAGCUCUCCAGUGAGCCACAUGACGCGACUUGGCAGCAACUGCAGCUCAUCUCGGUUCAGUUCGGGCAGACUUCCGUGUAAUUAAGUGGCGUUCACAAUGCGCUCCACCACCCAUUGUGUGCUGGAUUUCAGACAGAACCAGGAUCCUCCCUUCACCAGCCCCAUCUCCUUGGCCAUGAUCUCGUGCCCCACAGAUGGCCCCACAAGCAAAUUCUUUGUGAAGGCCCAGACAAGCGAAUGCACAUGACUUCAACGAGGAGACGUCGUCGCAAACUGGAUUUGGGCGCCAGUUAGGCACAAUGGGUAGGAUGUCUCUAACGCAGAGUCUUCGAAGUUUAUAAUACACUGAAAUUUGGAAUAUUUAUGGUAUAUACAUAGUCUAAAUACAAAUAAGCUUAAAAUGUGAUGUAGCUCCUAAUAUUUG